ACCAGGAUGGCCGAGUGGUUAAGGCGUUGGACUUAAGAUCCAAUGGAUGAAUGUUCACGUGGGUUCGAACCCCACUCCUGGUA
rnacentral:tRNA from 1 species